rnacentral:lncRNA from 1 species
UUACGUGUAACUGACUGAAAGCAAUCAAAGAUGCCAAUUAUUAAAAUUUUACAGAUUUUGAGCUCAAGAAUGAUCUAUGAAUUUAUAAAAGAGGAUGCAGCAUUUUCAUUACAAGACAUUAAUAAAUCUGAAAUGAGAGUGUUUAGAACUUUGAAUUUUCAGGCACAUGUAUGGUUCUGCUGAAUACAAUCACAUACUUCAAAAAUGUUACCAAAUGUGUGAGGUUGUGUACCUGAAUCAUCAAGAAAUAUACACACACUUUUUCCACAAACUGACAGCGCUAUGGGACAGAUCACAUGCAGAGAGGCUAAGUUUCUGCUCAGUAGAAUGCAAUGGACUGAUUAAAGGAGCUGCAAUAAUCUUGACAACUGCACGACUGUCGCAAAUACCAGAAGACAAAGAGAGGAUUCUGACGAACGAGCUCUCUAGGCUAACAACAUCGCCUGAGCAAUGUAUCCAGGAGCUAUCUGCCGUGAUUCUUCAUAUUAUUUGCCCACAGUACACACCAUCAAAAAAGUACAUACACACAUAUCAAGAAUAUUUAGCCUUCACUCAGUCUCGUUGA